UGCCAGCUCUUACGAAGAGAUGCCUUUGC
rnacentral:piRNA from 1 species